CCUACGGGAGGCAGCAGUGGGGAAUAUUGGACAAUGGGCGAAAGCCUGACCCAGCAACGCCGCGUGAAUGAAGAAGGCUUUCGGGUUGUAAACUUCUAUCGACAGGGAAGAGCAGAAGACUGUACCUGUAGAAUAAGCCACGUCUAACUACGUGCCAGAAGCCGCGGUAAUACGUAGGUGGCAAGCGUUGUGCGGAUUUACUGGGUGUAAAGGGGGCGCAGACGGCUGUGCAAGCCAGGAGUGAAAGCCGGGGGCCCAAACCCGGGACUGCUCUUGGAACUGCGUGGCUGGAGUGCAGGAGGGGCAGGUGGAAUUCCUGGUGUAGCGGUGAAAUGCGUAGAUAGCAGGAGGAACACCAGUGGCGAAGGCGGCCUGCUGGACUGUAACUGACGUUGAGGCUCGAAAGCGUGGGGAGCAAACAGGAUUAGAUACCCUAGUAGUC
rnacentral:rRNA from 1 species